rnacentral:lncRNA from 1 species
CCCACUCCCUUGGAUCCCCCAUCCUCCACUCUUGCUGCUCCCUCUCUCACCACUAUUGACUCUCCACCUCCGCCUACCAUUCCGGCGCGGGGCCGGCCAUCCCCGUAUUCAUUGACAAAUCUGCCUAUCACUCCGUCGCGGGGCCCGCCAUCCGGGUUUCCAUUGAGAGAACCGCCUAUCACUCCGGCGCUGGGCCCGCCAUCCGGGUUUCCGUUGAGAGAACCGCCUAUCACUCCGGCGCUGGGCCCGCCAUCUGGGUUUCCAUUGAGAGAACCGCCUAUCACUCCGGCGCUGGGCCCGCCAUCCUCGUCUUCAUUGACACCUCCGCCUAUCACUCCGGCGCUGCGCCCGCCAUCCUCGUCUUCAUUGACACCUCCACCUACCACUCCGGCGCUGAGCCCGCCAUCCCUGUCUUCAUUGACACCUCCUCCUACCUCAGGCGCCCCUCCACCGUCCACUCCUUCUGACUCAUCUCCGCCCUCGUCAAAUCCGGUGGCCAGGAGUCCUCCCUCGCCUCCGACGGGUGACGACGGUGGUGGUGGGGUGAGUACUGGGUUAGUGGUGGGGUUAGCG